rnacentral:rRNA from 1 species
GGUUAAGCGACUAAGCGUACACGGUGGAUGCCCUGGCAGUCAGAGGCGAUGAAGGACGUGCUAAUCUGCGAAAAGCGUCGGUAAGGUGAUAUGAACCGUUAUAACCGGCGAUGUCCGAAUGGGGAAACCCAGUGUGUUUCGACACACUAUCAUUAACUGAAUCCAUAGGUUAAUGAGGCGAACCGGGGGAACUGAAACAUCUAAGUACCCCGAGGAAAAGAAAUCAACCGAGAUUCCCCCAGUAGCGGCGAGCGAACGGGGAGGAGCCCAGAGCCUGAAUCAGUGUGUGUGUUAGUGGAAGCGUCUGGAAAGGCGCGCGAUACAGGGUGACAGCCCCGUACACAAAAAUGCACAUGCUGUGAGCUCGAUGAGUAGGGCGGGACACGUGGUAUCCUGUCUGAAUAUGGGGGGACCAUCCUCCAAGGCUAAAUACUCCUGACUGACCGAUAGUGAACCAGUACCGUGAGGGAAAGGCGAAAAGAACCCCGGCGAGGGGAGUGAAAAAGAACCUGAAACCGUGUACGUACAAGCAGUGGGAGCCCUGAUUUAUCAGGGUGACUGCGUACCUUUUGUAUAAUGGGUCAGCGACUUAUAUUCUGUAGCAAGGUUAACCGAAUAGGGGAGCCGGAGGGAAACCGAGUCUUAACUGGGCGUUAAGUUGCAGGGUAUAGACCCGAAACCCGGUGAUCUAGCCAUGGGCAGGUUGAAGGUUGGGUAACACUAACUGGAGGACCGAACCGACUAAUGUUGAAAAAUUAGCGGAUGACUUGUGGCUGGGGGUGAAAGGCCAAUCAAACCGGGAGAUAGCUGGUUCUCCCCGAAAGCUAUUUAGGUAGCGCCUCGUGAAUUCAUCUCCGGGGGUAGAGCACUGUUUCGGCAAGGGGGUCAUCCCGACUUACCAACCCGAUGCAAACUGCGAAUACCGGAGAAUGUUAUCACGGGAGACACACGGCGGGUGCUAACGUCCGUCGUGAAGAGGGAAACAACCCAGACCGCCAGCUAAGGUCCCAAAGUCAUGGUUAAGUGGGAAACGAUGUGGGAAGGCCCAGACAGCCAGGAUGUUGGCUUAGAAGCAGCCAUCAUUUAAAGAAAGCGUAAUAGCUCACUGGUCGAGUCGGCCUGCGCGGAAGAUGUAACGGGGCUAAACCAUGCACCGAAGCUGCGGCAGCGACACUGUGUGUUGUUGGGUAGGGGAGCGUUCUGUAAGCCUGUGAAGGUGUGCUGUGAGGCAUGCUGGAGGUAUCAGAAGUGCGAAUGCUGACAUAAGUAACGAUAAAGCGGGUGAAAAGCCCGCUCGCCGGAAGACCAAGGGUUCCUGUCCAACGUUAAUCGGGGCAGGGUGAGUCGACCCCUAAGGCGAGGCCGAAAGGCGUAGUCGAUGGGAAACAGGUUAAUAUUCCUGUACUUGGUGUUACUGCGAAGGGGGGACGGAGAAGGCUAUGUUGGCCGGGCGACGGUUGUCCCGGUUUAAGCGUGUAGGCUGGUUUUCCAGGCAAAUCCGGAGAAUCAAGGCUGAGGCGUGAUGACGAGGCACUACGGUGCUGAAGCAACAAAUGCCCUGCUUCCAGGAAAAGCCUCUAAGCAUCAGGUAACAUCAAAUCGUACCCCAAACCGACACAGGUGGUCAGGUAGAGAAUACCAAGGCGCUUGAGAGAACUCGGGUGAAGGAACUAGGCAAAAUGGUGCCGUAACUUCGGGAGAAGGCACGCUGAUGGUAGGUGAAGCGACUUGCUCGUGGAGCUGAAAUCAGUCGAAGAUACCAGCUGGCUGCAACUGUUUAUUAAAAACACAGCACUGUGCAAACACGAAAGUGGACGUAUACGGUGUGACGCCUGCCCGGUGCCGGAAGGUUAAUUGAUGGGGUCAGCGCAAGCGAAGCUCUUGAUCGAAGCCCCGGUAAACGGCGGCCGUAACUAUAACGGUCCUAAGGUAGCGAAAUUCCUUGUCGGGUAAGUUCCGACCUGCACGAAUGGCGUAAUGAUGGCCAGGCUGUCUCCACCCGAGACUCAGUGAAAUUGAACUCGCUGUGAAGAUGCAGUGUACCCGCGGCAAGACGGAAAGACCCCGUGAACCUUUACUAUAGCUUGACACUGAACACUGGUCCUUGAUGUGUAGGAUAGGUGGGAGGCUUUGAAGUGUGGACGCCAGUCUGCAUGGAGCCGUCCUUGAAAUACCACCCUUUAAUGGCUGGUGUUCUAACGUUGGCCCCUUACCGGGGUUGCGGACAGUGUCUGGUGGGUAGUUUGACUGGGGCGGUCUCCUCCUAAAGAGUAACGGAGGAGCACGAAGGUUGGCUAAUCCUGGUCGGACAUCAGGAGGUUAGUGCAAUGGCAUAAGCCAGCUUGACUGCGAGCGUGACGGCGCGAGCAGGUGCGAAAGCAGGUCAUAGUGAUCCGGUGGUUCUGAAUGGAAGGGCCAUCGCUCAACGGAUAAAAGGUACUCCGGGGAUAACAGGCUGAUACCGCCCAAGAGUUCAUAUCGACGGCGGUGUUUGGCACCUCGAUGUCGGCUCAUCACAUCCUGGGGCUGAAGUAGGUCCCAAGGGUAUGGCUGUUCGCCAUUUAAAGUGGUACGCGAGCUGGGUUUAGAACGUCGUGAGACAGUUCGGUCCCUAUCUGCCGUGGGCGCUGGAGAACUGAGGGGGGCUGCUCCUAGUACGAGAGGACCGGAGUGGACGCAUCACUGGUGUUCGGGUUGUCAUGCCAAUGGCACUGCCCGGUAGCUAAAUGCGGAAGAGAUAAGUGCUGAAAGCAUCUAAGCACGAAACUUGCCCCGAGAUGAGUUCUCCCUGAGACUUAGAGUCUCCUGAAGGAACGUUGAAGACGACGACGUUGAUAGGCCGGGUGUGUAAGCGCAGCGAUGCGUUGAGCUAACCGGUACUAAUGAACCGUGAGGCUUAACCUU